rnacentral:rRNA from 1 species
ACCCCCGUUCAACCUCACCACUUCUAGCCACCCCAGCCUAUAUACCGCCGUCGUCAGCUUACCCUGUGAAGGUAAUAAAAGUAAGCAAAAUGGGCACAACCCAAAACGUCAGGUCGAGGUGUAGCGCAUGAAGUGGGAAGAAAUGGGCUACAUUUUCUAAUAUAGAAUAUUACGAACAUGCACCAUGAAACAAUGCUUGAAGGAGGAUUUAGUAGUAAAAGGGAAAUAGAGUGUCCCUUUGAACCCGGCUCUGAGACGCGU